UACGGGGGGAGCAAGCGUUGUUCGGAUUUACUGGGCGUAAAGGGCGGGUAGGCGGCCACCGCAAGUCAGUUGUGAAAUCUCUGGGCUUAACCCAGAAAGGUCAACUGAUACUGCGGGGCUAGAGUGCAGAAGGGGCAACUGGAAUUCUCGGUGUAGCGGUGAAAUGCGUAGAUAUCUGGAGGAACACCGGUGGCGAAGGCGGCAUCCUGGACCGACACUGACGCUGAGGAGCGAAAGCCAGGGGAGCAAACGGG
rnacentral:rRNA from 1 species